CACGAGCUUUUGCCUUAUCUAUUACCUGAUGCAUUUCUGUGACAAUAGAAUUCUAGUUUUGAAGCAAGCGGGGAGAGGUGCCAAGAUGGCGGCUUGAACAGACACUUUUUUUUUACCGAGCUCCGUAUCUAUCUUCAGGAAGAUUGUGAAAAGUUUAGUCAUUACUAUUUUUAUUUGUUCAAGAUAUAAGACCUUUCCUGUGACUGGAAUAGUAAUUGGAUAAUUUUUUUCUGCAUGUCCAUGCAAAGUCGUGAAGAAGUUAGCAGUACUAUUGCUAAUCAACAAGAGAGAAACGUGCUUAUAGACAACUGCCAUAACUACUCUUGGCCUAUUGAUAAUAUCAUGCUUUCGAAUGCUGUUGAAGAUGACAAUUUCCCCUCUUUACCGGUUACUCCGUGCAAACCUCCACCCUCCAAAAAACCCAACAUGAACUCUGACAUCGUGGCUACCCUCUCAUCAACUCCAGGUGUGACGCCAUUGAGAAAAUGGUAGGCGCGAACACCAUGGUUAUCGAAAGCUUGAAAAAGACUGGAGUUUGCAUGUGGUGAUAUCAAGGAUGUGAAAACGAGAGUGGCAAAAGUUGAAAAAAGUGUGGAAAGGAAUAACAAUGUCUACCAUAGACGUCUCACUGAUCUGGAAUAAUACACAAGAAGAUGGAACCUGAGACUCUACAGCUUGCCAGAGGUGGAGAAUGAAGAUGUGAGAGGAGAGGCUAUCCGUAUCUGCCAAGAAGUUUUGCCUGCAGAGAAGAACAAAGUUGGUGAUACCAUUGACGUUGUGCAUCGCCUCGGCAAGAAGCAACAGCAAAACGAUUCAAGACCUAGGGGUAUCAUCAUCCUCUUCACUGCCAGAUUCUACAGGGAUGCUGUCUGGAAAGCUACUAGGAAGAACGCCUUCCUUCAGAGCCAUGGUCUGCGUUUCGCCCAUCAUCUCAGCCCGGAGGGCAUAGAAAGAAGGAACAAGUUGUGGCCAACGAUCAAGAUAGCAUGAAAUGAGGGGAAGGCUGCUUACUUCGUCGGAGGACGAGGCUUCAUCAACGGUUCAGAAAUCCAUAUUCUUCCCUAAAAUCUCACCAGAAGGAACAGGUUGAUGGUUUCAGCCAUGAGUCUCACUCAAUUUCGGCUGAUACCAACUUCUGGAGGUCACAGUGAGGCAACGAUAUUUGGCUCUCCCAUGGAUCUGAACGCUCCGCCGGUGUCACUACAAUGAAAAAUACCUUUGGCGGACACCUACACCACCCGAUGUUACAGGAAGGCCAUAAAGAUCAUCAAGGACAACAACCACCCGAGCCACUGCCUGUUCACCCCGCUAUCAUCCAGAAGGCGAGGUCAGUACAGGUGCAUCAAAGCUGGGACCGAGAGACUGAAAAACAGCUUCUAUCUCAAGGCCAUCAGGAUGUUUAACAGCCACCACUAACAUUGAGUGGCUGCUGCCAACACACUGACUCAACUCCAGCCACUUUAAUAAUGCGAAUUGAUGGGAAAUGAUGUCAAAUAUAUCACUAGCCACUUUAAACAAUGCUACCUAAUAUAAUGUUUACAUACCCUACAUUAUUCAUCUCAUAUGUAUACGUAUAUACUGUACUCUAUAUCAUCUACUUCUGCAUCUUUAUGUAAUACAUGUAUCACUAGCCACUUUAACUAUGCCACUUUGUUUACAUACUCAUCUCAUAUGUAUAUACCGUACUCGAUACCAUCUACUGUAUCUUGCCUAUGCCGCUCUGUACCAUCACUCAUUCAUAUAUCUUUAUGUACAUAUUCUUUAUCCCCUUACACUUGUGUGUAUAAGACAGUAGUUAUGGAAUUGUUAGUUAGAUUACUUGUUGGUUAUUACUGCAUUGUCGGAACUAGAAGCACAAGCAUUUCGCUACACUCGCAUUAACAUCUCCUAACCAUGUGUAUGUGAUAAAUAAAAUUUGAUUUGAUAUAUGGAGA
ensembl:lncRNA